GGUAGUCCACGCCCUAAACGAUGCAUAUUUGGUGUGGGCAGUUCAUUCUGUCCGUGCCGGAGCUAACGCGUUAAAUAUGCCGCCUGGGGAGUACAGUCGCAAGGCUGAAACUCAAAGGAAUUGACGGGGGCCCGCACAAGCGGUGGAGCAUGUGGUUCAAUUCGACGCAACGCGAAGAACCUUACCUGGGCUCGAACGGGUAGUCAACGGCGGUGGAAACAUCGCUACCCCGCAAGGGGGUCUAUUCGAGGUGCUGCAUGGCUGUCGUCAGCUCGUGUCGUGAGAUGUUGGGUUAAG
rnacentral:rRNA from 1 species